UACGGAGGGUGCAAGCGUUGUUCGGAUUUACUGGGCGUAAAGCGCGCGCAGGUGGGUGUGCAAGUCGGAAGUGAAAUCUUGAGGCUCAACCUCGAGGCUGCUCCCGAAACUGCACGCCUAGGGACUGGUAGAGGCUGGUAGAAUUCCCGGUGUAGCGGUGGAAUGCGUAGAUAUCGGGAGGAACACCUGUGGCGAAAGCGGCUCACUGGACCAUAACUGACGCUGAUGCACGAAAGCUGGGGGAGCAAACAGG
rnacentral:rRNA from 1 species